rnacentral:sRNA from 1 species
AUAAACGGCUCAUGUUAUGAUUAGAACGUUGACACCAAUGGAAACUGGGUGACUGGAUGCUAAUUGUCUUUUUAAAGAGGUAGGGAUGUUUUGAGACAUGUCCUCAAAUGGGUUAUGUAGCUGAGGAUGGUCUUCAAGUCUGGAUCCUCCUGUCUCUACCUCCAAGUGUCAAGAUUACAGCCCUGCACCACCGCCAAGUGUCUAAGGGAUCCCUGUGAAAGAUGGACUGAUAUUUUAAGAAUGAAAUUGAAAGCAAACACCAGUGAACUAAAUGCAGUGUGCUGCUAGAUUACAUCCUUAAAAGAGAAAAUGGCCCAGAGAAGGCAAUUGCCAUGCAGCAAAAGUUUCUCAAUGCUUUGGAAAAGAGUUCCAGCCCACUGGCCUUUCAGCCACCAACGAGCUCUGCAUGACGGAAAUGACUCACACAAGGAAAAUGAGCGGUGUUCCAGGUGGCUGUCUCCAGACUCUGCAGGCACCUAUUGCUGUUGGAAAGAUACUUUGACGAAGAAGGGCCUCUUGGAAAAACCAGAAAUAAACCAGCACUUGCUCCAGGAGUUCUCUCCCCAAGAAGAAAUUCUAGUCUGAGGCCAGGGUUAAGACAUCAUCAUAUCCGGUAGCUGCCUUGCCCAUGUGAUAGGUGAUCAAGCCCCAGGACAUGGAGAUGCCAUUAUGGGUGCUCUUUCUAAUUUUCAGCUUGGUUUAACUUGAAAACAAUGAUAAUCACUUCCAAGUCAAUAAAAUUAAUUCUACAUAAAACAUGUACUGAAUAGAAAAAGACAAAAUGUAAAAGUUAAUCGUGGGUGUAUCUAUAGGAUCCCAAGCAACAAGAAGCCUAAAGCUUGAAAGGGUUAGGUAGUUUCUUGGCCCUAGGUCAGACCUGCUUGGACUACUGGGCUCUAGAUGUUUGAGAUGGUAGGGUUAGUGUUUUCUUUUGUUGUCUCCUUUCUCUAAAAGGUCUCAUGUCACUCAGACUGUUUGUAAACUGUAUCCAUAGCCAAAGAUAACCUAGACUUCCAAUGUCUAUGUUCCAAGUGCUAGCAGCAUAGGCAUACACCACCAUACCAGCUUUGUUUUUUUCUUACUAUCUAUCAAAAAUAGUUGCGAAAAUAACAUAUCUAUUUGGGGGGCCUGCUUGUCUUUGUAAAAUCAUUUACACCUAGACAGCAUGGAGUUAUUCCUGUUAUAAAUAUCCCAUACCAGCUUCUCAACAUGGAGCCUAGUGUAGUGACUGGAUUAAAACUGGGACUCUGAUAUCAGAUGACCUAUAUUCAAAGUUUGGCUAUGUGAUCUAUAUCAUGUCUCUUAGUACUUUUACUUUAGUACCUACAGCCUGGAUAUAACAAUUCAUCUCUGAGAAGUGGGCUAUGGGAAUUAAACCAUUUACUAGGUCAAAAGUCAUCGGGAGAGUUCCUGACUCAUACUAAGUGCUAGUAAAUGUUGGCUGAAAAGACCUUACUUGGGGCUAGGGAGAGGGUUCAUAAAGCUAAUGCCCCCGAAGUAGGAUGGCCAGAGUUCAUAUCCCCAGCAGACCUACAAAUGGCAGGUGGAUGCGGCAGCCCACCUGUAAUCUUAGAACUCAGGAGGCUGAGACAGGGGAUCACUGGAGCAAGCUGGAUUGCAAGAUGAGCCCGACUGGCAAGCUCUGGGUUCAAGUGAAAUAUUCUGUCCUUAUGCAUAAGAUAAAGACUGAUCAAGGAAGACAUUAACACCAACCUCGUUCAAUGUGUAUCCUAGCUAAAGAAUCCAAAAUGUAAGGAAGCCAGUUGUUGGGGGUUUUUUGUUUUUGUUUUUUGGGGUUUUUUGUUUUUUGUUUUUUGUUUGCUUGUUUCUUUCUUUCUUUGUUUGUUUUAAGUAGUCCAUAAGCCUUUUCCUAUGGAGAAAUAUUACCUUUACAGUGGUCAGCCAGGUUUGGUAGACUGGCAAAUCAUUGCUUUGGAAAAGGGACCUCCCAUUCCCUCUAAAGCUGUCCAGGAUACAAACAUCCUUGAGAAGCCAGUGGGGAAGACAUACAUGGUGAACAGUGGUUGCUCGUCAAUAUAUGCAUCACUCUGAUGUAUCUUGUACCCCAAUAAAAGAUGAUUGAAAGUGCUA